rnacentral:misc_RNA from 1 species
AUACCUCAACCUCUACACUUUCUUGUAAAGCGUAGCUGCGUUGGAUGCUGAGCGCUGCUGUUUUACCACAGCUCGCUUCAAAUGUAUAAGCAAUCUUGGUACUAGCUCGGAUUGACUCGACGUGAUAAGAUCUUCGUCGAGGAUGCUUUAACUAGCAGCCGAUUCGUACUCAAGCCGCUCCCAAACCGAGUCGCCCUGGUGCGAUGCUCCUUUUACA